rnacentral:rRNA from 1 species
GACGAACGCUGGCGGCGUGCUUAACACAUGCAAGUCGAACGGAAAGGCCCUGCUUUUGUGGGGUGCUCGAGUGGCGAACGGGUGAGUAACACGUGAGUAACCUGCCCUUGACUUUGGGAUAACUUCAGGAAACUGGGGCUAAUACCGGAUAGGAGCUCCUGCUGCAUGGUGGGGGUUGGAAAGUUUCGGCGGUUGGGGAUGGACUCGCGGCUUAUCAGCUUGUUGGUGGGGUAGUGGCUUACCAAGGCUUUGACGGGUAGCCGGCCUGAGAGGGUGACCGGCCACAUUGGGACUGAGAUACGGCCCAGACUCGUACGGGAGGCAGCAGUGGGGAAUAUUGCACAAUGGGCGGAAGCCUGAUGCAGCAACGCCGCGUGCGGGAUGACGGCCUUCGGGUUGUAAACCGCUUUCACCUGUGACGAAGCGUGAGUGACGGUAAUGGGUAAAGAAGCACCGGCUAACUACGUG